AUGCUGUUGCUGUUAAAAAGCUCGUAGUUGGAUCAAGAGUUCGACAGUGCAAGGUGGCCUCGCUUGUGCAGUUGGCUCCGGUCAUCUGUACGGCGGCGGAUCAACCCCUUGCGCCAAACUGUCGUCUCUAACAGACCGAAGCGGUUCCCUGUGAGUAGGCCACUUUAUUGGGGCUGAAAGCGUUUACGCAUUCACCAUAUGCAUACGGGACGUCGGUCAAAGUUACUGUGAACAAACCAGCGUGUCCAAAACAGGCUUCGCCUGAAUGUUCGAGCAUGGAAUAACAAGGGAUCGAUUCUCUCGGUUCUUUUGUUGGGUUUUAACCUGAGAAUGAGUAAUUCAGGCCAAGGUGUCUGGGCUGGGUUCCCCU
rnacentral:rRNA from 1 species